UACGAAGGGGGCUAGCGUUGCUCGGAAUGACUGGGCGUAAAGGGCGCGUAGGCGGCUUGCACCGUCAGAUGUGAAAUUCCUGGGCUUAACCUGGGGGCUGCAUUUGAUACGUGUGGGCUUGAGUGCGGAAGAGGGUCGUGGAAUUCCCAGUGUAGAGGUGUAAUUCGUAGAUAUUGGGAAGAACACCGGUGGCGAAGGCGGCGACCUGGUCCGUGACUGACGCUGAGGCGCGAAAGCGUGGGGAGCAAACAGG
rnacentral:rRNA from 1 species